rnacentral:rRNA from 1 species
AUGAGCUCUCCUGGGAAGACAUCGUGGCCAGAGGUGCUCCACUGGUCUGUGUACCCGGCGAUGGACAAGAUCAAGAGCGACAGGCCGGAGCUGACCAUCGACUCGCUGCCGGUGGGCACCAUCCCAGCCCCGCCGGGCUUCCAGUCGGACCGCGUCCUCGUCUUCUACCAGCAGGAGGAGGGGGUCGUCCACCGGGUCGUAGUCAUCCCCGUCGUCGGCUAG